ACGUUGCAGCGCGGAGCGUAUGUAGUAGUCAAAACAUGCGGGCCAUACCAUUGACAAUUGUUGCGUAUAUGCCCACCAAUAUGACGGAAACCACCUAGAAACACAUAAACAUCCCGGAAACUGAAGGAUAACUUCAUUCUCUGCCAUUAUAUUCGCUUCGCUUGCAACAAUAUAAUCGAGUUACAAACUAAGAAGAGCACUUCUAUCCUAUCUCCACAAUUAUGCUGUUGCCCGCCGCCAAGUACGACUGUGCCGACUGGAAAUAUCUAACCAGUCAACGGACAAAGCCGAUAGCAAAUGAAGGAUGACGCCCCGGCCGACCGCUACCAUGACUAUAAAUACAGGCUUUGUAAUGAAUAAAAUUUGAAGUUUUUGGAUCAGAAAUUCAGACAUUUUAAUCACAAAGUUCGUGAAGAAACUUCAAGCAAAGGGACAUAUUGGUGUACUAUUAUGAGAAGUUGCUCCACUUGAUAGUAGUACAAACUAUGUUGAUGGGAUAUGAGCCACAGAGAUCGGGAGCAUGGUGCAACCAGGCCGAGAGACAGGAGGUAAAGAGACGAUAGACCGAAUGAGAGCGUCGGGAAGUGGAUUGGCCGAAUAAGGUAGGGGCUAGCAGGGGCGAUACGAGGCAGUGUAUGUGGUCAGGCCAAUCAAUAAAGAAGUAAGCUCAAUUGAGAAAUGGGGGCAAUCCGAGGAUGGAGGGCGGGCAAAUGAUUGGACCGGACGAAUGUAGGAGUCAGGCGGAGGAUCAAUCGAGCGAAUGGGGAAACCGGACGGGUGGGUCGGUGGAUGGAGAAGCGGGAUGGAUUAGCCAAGUGGAUGGAGAAGCCAAAUGGAUGAGCCAACUCCAGUUGACCCACUCGAAGGGUCAGUUCGUCCAUCUCCUUCAGGUGGUCGGCUUGGAUGGACUUGAAGCUUCAACAUCCGCUAUAAGGGGAUUUAGCUUCUUCUGCAGCUCGGACUGAAGAACAAAUGUAUGUCAGAAGAAAAUAGGGAACUUUGUUAAGUAUGGGAAAGAGUUGACUUUGAGAAAGAGUCGGAAGGUUAAAAGGCAUUACUCGAUAGGUGUAGUAGGAGCCACCUUCGAACAGCUUCUCAGCAGUGGUGGUCUCAUAGGAGGCUACAUUUUUGGAAAAGAUUACCUUAUCCAACCAGUCAUUAACACGAAACUUAUCUUUGAAGAGAUCUUCAUCUUCCCCAACCUCUAAGCCGAGUGAGGAACUAAGGACGGCCCGCCAAUAAUGAGUCGGGGGUGUCAUUCGGGGAUCCAAUAAUGACGAUGAGAUUGGCAGCAGAAGCGGAUGGAGGGGGAGCUAAGCUAGAGUCGGCAGAAACAUUGGAUUUGCUCUUCACCCGUUCUUUCAUGAGAGCGCGGCGGUCAGCCAUGUUGAGUGCAAAGGUGGGAAUGAUGGUAAUUGGCUCGUCAGUGAUGACUUCUUCUUCACCCUCGGUCGCGACUUUGUUUUCAUCCUCGCCUUCGUCCGAAGAGGACUCAGUGUCAAUGUUACCUGCAAUUUAAUGAGUUAGUUCACAAGGUGAAAUAAGAGGGAGAAGGAUAUAGGAGACCCAUCACCUGUGGUGACAUCCCCCUCGAGCAGAAGGUUUGCCUUCUCGAUAGCUCUUAGUCGAGAUAAACGUUUGACUUUGAGGCAACUCGUGUCAAGGAGGAUGGACGCGAUUCUCGCCGUCUCCUCGUCACAUGAAGGUUUCUGAAUACACUUAUAGAAGGAAGGCCUCCAGUUGAGAGGACAUUCGAAGCGAGGAGAAGUGGGGGCGAGGCGAACAAUGAAGAAGACUGGCUUUCAAUUUUUUAUUGACUCGAGAAUACCGUCGAAGAUCUUACAACCCCCUCUUUGAGACACUUGGACGUAUCCGAGAGAGGCAUAACUCACUUGGUUGAUGAGGAAAAGUUUGAUGGUGGGAUGGAAGUCGAGUGCGUGAUAGAGGGUCUGGAAGCAGGAAAUGAGUCAGUGGGAGUUGGGAAAGAUUUGACCAGGGAGGAGGCCAAAGUAAUGGAAAAAGAUAGAUGUGAAAGUGCUUAGAGGCACUCGGAAUUCGUGGCGGACCUACUGAAAGUGGAUCUCGAUGUAACCCCCAAGAGGAGGAUCACAUAUGUAAGGCUCGCGGGAGCGUAUAUCCCGGCAGUGGACCGAGAAGAUUUUGGUAGCUCAUUCAACUCGAAGGAAGUGAUGGUGGAGUGAUCCUCAACAGGGCGAGGCAGAUCCUCGAAGAGUCUGGUAGCUCGUUGAAUACCCGAAAAACAGUAAAAGGUGAAAGUAAAAAUGUGGGGUGAAAGUGGAGUAUUUAUAGGAUGAGGGGGUUAGGCAGAUGGUGACACGUGGCGAAGGAUUGGACCUCAUGGCCACCAUGAGCAACCCUCUUGCUCCUUAGCUUUUAAAGCCUAGCAUGUUUGGCUGAACGCUUGAAGUUGCGUCACUUCAUGUCUUUGCCACCUUUCUUUAAGUCUAUGAAUUCCUGCAAAAGAGGCCUAAAGGAGAGAUUCGAGAAAAGUCACUGGUGUGUGGCCCUAUUUAUAGGGUAAGUAUUCUACCUGAAAUCACAAGUGAUGUGCAUGAAUGACAUUGACAAAACCAUGUAAGGUGACUUGUCAUUUUCCCCAAAAUUCAAGGGCGCGGAAUCUCGUGUAUGGGUGUUAGUAGGGAGUCGGUAUGGUUAGCCGGAGUCCUGUAAAAGAAGUCGACACUCGGUCAAUCGUGUCUCCUUGUAAAAGUAGUGUGCAAAAGGUGUAGGUAGAGAGUCGGUUUGGUUGGCUGAAGUCCUGUAAAAGGAGUCGGCACUCGGUUAACCGUGUCUCCUUGUAAAAGAAAUUGGCACUCUGUCAAUUGUGUCUCCUCGUAAAAGGAGUGGGGAAAAGUCAUAAGGUAGUAGUCGAUUUGGUUGGUCGGAGUCUUGUAAAAGGAGUCGUCACUUGAUCAAUCGUGUCUUCUUAUAAAAGAAGUGUACAAAAGGUAUAAGUAGGGAGUUGAUUUGGUUGACUGGAGUCUUGUAAAAGGAGUCGACACUCGUCAACCGUGCCUCCUUGUAAAUAGAGUUGGCAAAAUUAAUAUACGGGGAUCAAAUUCAUAAAUGAUGAUAAUUGAAGUACCUUUACUGCACUAAUUUUAUCUGUAUAAGUGCGGAGUGCCCGUCCUUGUUAGUCGUUACUAUCCCCUUUAUUGGACUGCUGUCUCUUUGCACACAAAUUCGAUCAACAUGAAGUGCCAUGGAGGAAAGAGGAACAGCACCAUCCGUUCAGUCAUCAUCGUCACUCUGAUUCUCGUGGCUGUUGCGGCCCUGUUCCACGUUACCGCCACCGGAGCGGCCCUGUUCCACGUUACCGCCACCGAGUUCAAUGACCGUCGACUAUUAAUUGAGGCUCAAUCAAGUGAAAGUACUCCCGGUCCGGGUUAUCGGCGGCUCCUAGCUUCAGUCAGAUACACACAUUAUCGCCGAGCACUGAUGGAUGCAGAGCAGAGCCAAAGUCCCUCUGGUCCUGGAUAUUGAGCUUUCCGGCCGGCCUGUAAUUGCGGUCAUCUUCUGUUUUUUAUUCCGUAUAGUAUUUCUUAUUUUUACAUUCGAUAUUGCUUGGUUGUCCCAAAUAAUGGCUUACGCUUAUCAACUUACAUGUUACUAUUGGAGUGCUGAUCAGGGUGGAUUCGUGAAUUGUUACCUUGGUUUCUGUUGAAAAUGUAUACUUUGUAUUUUUGAGAAUUUUGAACAUGUUAUUAAAUUAUAUUUUGGUGUUUUUUGAAAAUUAUUCUAAGUUUGAUGAAUAUAUUUGAUUUUGUUUGGUGAGUCUUUUAUUUUAAAAGGAUCUCAUGAGAAGAGUGUGAUUUACCGAAUAUUAACUCUGAAAAUUUUUGAACAAUCUAAAGAUUAAGUUUACAAUAUGUUUAGUCUAAGGAAUUAGUGAAUAAUUAUAUAUCUCAACUUUGCAAAAAUGAAGAUCAACGGUUGUGAUUGCGCAUGAGGGUAGAAAUAUAAAAACCAGACCAUCGUGCAGGCCCUCUCGAUGGAAUGCACGAGAAUCCCUUCAUUAAUUACCUUCAGUUGCCUUGGUUACUCAUCUGUAAUCUGUACUACCUUAACCUUCUUCUUCUCCAUAGACUACCUUUACGGCUUAACCUAUGUUCAUACGAAGAGCUUGUCCUCCCAAAAGUGAAUUCCAAGUGCAUCCGUCUUAUUACCACUGAAGAAUGUUUAAAUUUAAACUUAAAACUCCUUAAUCCCUAAAAUACUAAAAUCUUAAAUCCUAAAUUUAAACCUAAAAUCACCAGUCUUCCAACCGUCGAGGCUGUAGACGCCGCAGCUCUCCUCCAAAGCUGACCCAGCCGUCGACGAAGUAGAAGCCGACGCCGCCUCCCCUGUAAUUUUGCGACGUGUCCUCCAUUGCCGUCGACGAAGCAAGCAGAAGCAGAAAUAGAAGCCGACACUGCCGUGCUCCCCUGCCGACGACGAAGUAAAAGACUAGUUGCAGCAAAGAAUAACAAAUCCAAGAAGUAACCACGAGAGGAUUCAGUUGGGCAUAACACCGAUGAUGAUGGAGAUGGGACAUAAUAUGAAUUUACAGCAGAAGAAGUGGAAAGAAAUGGUCUACAUAUUUUGGUGAUUACAGCUGCACCCAGCAGAGCUUCAUAGAUCAGUUGCAAGUUAUUGGAAUAGGGACUCGGGCUGGAUUUGGUUACAGCUUGAACACUUGCUCCCGGAUGCUAUAUUAGAUAAAUUAGCUGCUACCAUCAUAUUCGAAGACCAAGAAGCUAAUGAUCUCAUCGGCUGGAGAAAUGAAUCUUCUGGAAAUUUUUCAGUUAGUUCUGCCUACAAUCUUGCUGCUGAUCACAUAGAGCCAGUAGAUGCAGCAAAGUGGAAUGCUAUGUGGAUUUUGAAAGCCCCUAGUCGUAUUAAAACCUUCCUAUGGCUAUCUCGACAUGGAAGAAUCAUGACUAACAGUAUGAGAGCAAGAAGAGAUAUUGCCCUCUGACAAAUGCUGGCUCUGUUACAUGACACAACCCUACGACCAACUACAAAAAUUUUGUAACAUGAUUAAAAAAAAAGAGGAAAAAAUAAAGAGUUAAUUUCAUUUUUUGUCCUAGAUUUAUAGGUGGCAAUCCACUUUAAGUCCUUUUUCAUUAGAACAUUUACUUUUGGUCCUAGUAUCAUUGUGACAUGAUCAUUUUUGGUCCUUUAUCAACAAAACAGUUUAAAUAUCGUUAAA